GCUCCAGUGGUCUAGUUGUUAUAGCGUCUGCCUCGGAUGUAGGAGGUCGUGGGUUUGAUCCCCGGUCGAGUCA